GGAGAUCGCUGCUAUUGGGAUGCGAAUUAGCCAUGCAAGUCAAGGGGGUAGCAAUACCACCGGCAAAAGGCUCAGUAACACGUCAAUAAUCUACUCUUUGGUCUGGGAUAGCCUUGAGAAAUUGAGGGUAAACCCGGAUAGAGGAAAGGUACUGGAAUGUCCUUACCUUGAAAGGUAACGCCAAAGAAUGAGUUGGCGGCUGAUUAGGCUGUUGGUAAGGUAACGGCUUACCAAACCGAAGAUCAGUAGGGGGGAUGAGAGUCCUAGCCCCGAGAAGGACACUGAGAUAAGGGUCCUAGCCCUAAGGGGUGCAGCAGGCGCGAAAACUUUACAAUGCGCGAAAGCGUGAUAAGGGUAUCCCAAGUGCUUACCUUUUAGGUGGGCUUUUUUUAAGCGUAAAUAACUUGAAGAAUAAGUGGUGGGCAAGACCGGUGCCAGCCGCCGCGGUAAUCCCGGCGCCACAAGUGGCGAUCGUUUUUAUUGGGCCUAAAGCGUUUGUAGCCGAUUUGAUAAGUCUUUUGUGAAAUUGUUCUACUUAAUAGAGCAACGUGCAAAGGAUACUGUCUUGUUAGGGACUGGGGGGAGACAGAGGUAUUCCUUGGGGAGCGGUAAAAUGUUUUAAUCCUUGGAGGACCACCCGUGGCGAAGGCUUCUGUCUAUAACAGGUCCGACGGUGAGAAACGAAAGCUGAGGGAUCAAAUCGGAUUAGAUACCCGAGUAGUCUCAGCUGUAAACUCUGCGAACUAUGUAUUGCGUAUUUUUAGUGAAUAUGCAGUGCCGUAGCGAAGGCGUUAAGUUCGCCGCCUGGGAAGUAUAGCCGCAAGACCGAAACUUAAAGGAAUUGGCGGGGGCGCACUACAAGGGGUGACGCGUGCGGUUCAAUUGGACUCAACCCCGGACAACUCACCAGGAGCGACGGCAGAAUGAAGGUCUGAUUAAAGGUCAUACCUAACGAGCCGAGAGGUGGUGCAUGGCCGUCGUCAGCUCGUGUCGUAGGAUGUCACGUUAAGUCGUGCAACGAGCAAGACCUACAUCCACUGUUGCUAUCAAGCUAUUUUAGUGAUUGGGCACACUGUGGAGACUGCCCGUGUAAAUGGGAGGAAGGUGUAGGCAACGGUAGGUCAGUACGCCCCGAAUCUCCUGGGCUACACGCGCGCGGCAAUGGUAAGGACAAUGGGAUGCAACUCUGAAAAGAGAAGCUAAUCCUCUAACCCUUGCCCCAGUUCAGAUCGAGGGUUGCAAUUCACCCUCGUGACGAUGGAAUCCCUAGUAAUCGGAAUUCAUUAGAUUCCGGUGAAUAUGUCCCUGUGCCUUGCACACACCGCCCGUCAA
rnacentral:rRNA from 1 species